UUUACGGGUUUUUAGGAGGAAUUGUUUCAUAUACACAAAUCCCCCCCUUCAACUUUACUAAAUUAUCUUAUUUUUCUCUUUGUAUCAUCUCAUUUCAUUCCACAGCAACUCUAGGAGGUCCAACCAGUAUUAGCCCUUUUUACAGAGAAGGAAACUGAGGCUCAGAGAGUUUAAGUAACUUGCCCACAUGACACAUCCCUGGGAAGAGGUCUCCAACUCAAGACGCCAAAUGCAAGCCGCUCCAGGAAGCCCUGCCCUGUGCUGCCUCCUUGUGUCUUGAUGAUGCUUCCUGGCAAGCAGCAAGACUUGGAAUAUUUGUUGGAAAUGAAUAAAUGAAAGCCUUAAUGCAGAAAUGUAGAGAUGUCUGUGCAUUUCACCCAGUGCCUGUGCAGUGCCAAGGUGAAGGAAGGUGGUUGGGCCUCAGAGGAGGCCCCAGGGCUGUGGGUCAGGAGCCGCCUUGGAGAUUCCCCUCCCUGGACUCAGUUUCCUCCUUCUAACGCAGACACCAGGCUGAGUCUGUCGUUUCACACAGGUAAUAGCUGAAUAAAGGGCCUGGCACGCAGUAGGUUCUCAAGUAAGAGUGGAGGCCCCUGCCUUUGAUGGAUGGGCAACCAAGACCUGGCGCAGUGCGGAGACCCGCCCAAGGUCACACAGCUGAGGCCGGCUCCGACCCCGGGCGGCCUGGCCCCAGCGGGCUGGGGUUGGUUAGAAGC